rnacentral:tRNA from 1 species
GGCCCUGUACUUUAAUGGCAGAAGGCCCGCCUUUCAAGCGGGGAGCGACGGGUCGGUACCGUCCAGGGCUA